rnacentral:rRNA from 1 species
CCCGUUUUGUAUGUACCUUAUGAAUAAGCAUCGGCUAACUCCGUGCCAGCAGCCGCGGUAAUACGGAGGAUGCGAGCGUUAUCCGGAUUUAUUGGGUUUAAAGGGUGCGUAGGUGGGUAAUUAAGUCAGCGGUGAAAGUUUGUGGCUCAACCAUAAAAUUGCCGUUGAAACUGGUCACCUUGAGUAUGUUUGCUGUAGGCGGAAUGCGUGUUGUAGCGGUGAAAUGCAUAGAUAUCACGCAGAACUCCGAUUGCGAAGGCAGCUUACAAAACCAUCACUGACACUGAAGCACGAAAGCGUGGGAAUCAAACAGGAUUAGAUACCCUGGUAGUCCACGCCGUAAACGAUGAUUACUAGGGAUUUGCGAUAUAGUGUAAGUCCUACAGCGAAAGCGUUAAGUAAUCCACCUGGGGAGUACGCCGGCAACGGUGAAACUCAAAGGAAUUGACGGGGGCCCGCACAAGCGGAGGAACAUGUGGUUUAAUUCGAUGAUACGCGAGGAACCUUACCCGGGUUUGAACGCAUUAGGAAUACGAUUGAAAGGUUGUAGCUAGCAAUAGCCUAUUGCGAGGUGCUGCAUGGUUGUCGUCAGCUCGUGCCGUGAGGUGUCGGCUUAAGUGCCAUAACGAGCGCAACCCUGAUUGUCAGUUGCUAGCAGGUAAAGCUGAGGACUCUGACAAGACUGCCGGCGUAAGCUGUGAGGAAGGUUGGGAUGACGUCAAAUCAGCACGGCCCUUACAUCCGGGGCGACACACGUGUUACAAUGGGGGGGACAAAGGGGCGCUACCUGGCGACAGGAUGCCAAUCUCAAAACCCUCUCUCAGUUCGGAUCGGAGUCUGCAACUCGACUCCGUGAAGCUGGAUUCGCUAGUAAUCGCGCAUCAGCCAUGGCGCGGUGAAUACGUUCCCGGGCCUUGUACACACCGCCCGUCAAGCCAUGGGAGCCGGGGGUACCUGAAGUACGUAACCGUCAAAGGAUCGUCCUAGGGUAAAACCGGUGACUGGGGCUAAGUCGUAACAAGGUAGCCGUACCGGAAGGUGCGGCUG